CGCAUCUGCAAAUUAUUUUUCCGGUCAUUUAUUUAUACAUUUUGAUAUAUGUAUAAAUUUCGCUUGAUUUUUUUAUGGUUGAGCCACGGAAAAAUUUUAACGCAUGGACAACAAUAUCGAGAGGUGUACUUUUCGAGCGAUGGCAGCAGCAGUAGCGGCGGCGGUGGUGGUGGAGGCGGAGGCGGAGGCGGUGACGGUAGAAGCAGAGGCAGGUAGAUGGUAUGCAGACGUUGACUAGAGUCAGCCGGGGUGGUUGUGCAUUUAGCAAGCUGUCGCCCCCAACCAGUCCGCCGUGUCAGGCCACUGACAGUUUUCAUUCCGCGCAUACUUGACGUGCAACCGGCUCCUCUUCGCUCGCUUCGUUUCUACUAGAACCGCCAACACCAUGCCGAUCGCUGCGAUUAAUUAUUUUGUCGAUCCACUACCUUUUCUUUUCUUCGUCUAACGAUGCCAGUCAUAGCUCGUUUAAUCUCGAUAAUCUACGUCCUAUAGUCGUUUGCGUGGAUCCGUAAUAAGUUGCGCGCAUCAUAGAAGGGGCAACAGGAAACGACAUACGACAUGACGCGACGUGACGCGAUGCGAAGAGUCGAAACGAGACGUGAAAGACGUGACGAGAGGAGAGAAGAGGAGAAGAGAAGAGAAGAGAAGAGAAGAGAAGAGAAGAGAAGAGAAGAGAAGAGAAGAGAAGAGAAGAGAAGAGAGGAGAAGAGAAGAGAAGAGAUGAGAAGAGAGGCGGAAAGAAGCGAAGCGAAGAGAAGAGAAGAGAAGAGAAGGGAGGAGAAGAGGAGGAGACUAUAGGAUAGGUGGAAGUUCGAUUCAGGGCGAAAGGGAAGGAUUAAUGGCGCAGGCGGGACACACCGCGGCCAUAAAUCGCCGCACGGCCAGGAAUUACCGGCUCGCAACUUGCGAAAUAUGACGGUCUCAUAAAUCCGAGUCCACUAGCCCGCGCGCCUCCAUCGACUACGUCGACUAGUCCCGCUUCCAGUCUCGCGUCGGUAUAUUGCGAUCUCGCUUCUACUUCUAACUCGCGGCCUAACGUCAUCUUCGUCCGCUCGUGCUCGCGGGAGAAUACACCGUGCACCCUGUGUAUACGUUUCAGCUCGGCGUGCAACGGCCAUUUAUAACUUGCGCGCCUGGAAAAGCGAGGUCCAUAACCUAAUACGUUCGUUCCGCUCGCCGAGGGGAGGCGAGAAAGGAGUUAAACAAAGAACGGGGUACGCCGAUUUAAAGGACGGGGAUAGAUGGAUGGAGACACCGGUGUGUCGUAACGAUGUGCCGCCUCGAACGAUCAAUUCACUUACCGCUUACCGUGCUUAGAUUCAUGUGCCUUGCCGCGAUUUUCCAUUCGUCCUCCACUAUUUCACUCUUCUUGCGCCUCCUCGGAAGUUCGAUCGUACCAACUGUCUUACCUUCUCGUAAUUGUUC